AGAGAGAAAGAGAGAGAGAGAGAGAGUGCACUCUGGCCUCAAGGGUAGCUGACCAGAGGCUGGGCACUCAGUGGAGCGAGCUGCUCCCGAACAGCCCAGCCCGGGGAGUGACCCAGGGAGGCAGGAAAUGAGUUUCCUUAGAGGAGGGGCUGUGGGGCGGCUACCAGCCAAAGGGAGAGAGGAAGUGCUGUUUAGAGUCUGGGCUUGGGACUGGGGGGCUGUCAGGGCCUGACAGAACUCCUUUACUCUCCUCCCCCUCUCCAAUCCCACCUCUCCUCUUCGGUUUUCUCUAGCUUCUAGUGACAGGACCAGCACAUCUGGCAGGAAACAUCUGGUUCUGUCAAUCAGCUCCCGAGAGGCGUCUGUCCCCAAAAAGGGAAAUCCCUGGGUGCCCCCACUUUCUGGCCAGUUGGACUUGUAUCACUACUGGAGAAUGAAGAGGCUGGAAUCCAUAUAAGCCCAAAGGCCUUUCUAGCAUCAAAUCUAUGAGCCCAGGACCUAGGCUAAUUCCUCCAUUUCAAGGAUCAGAUGGAGGGACCUGGCUAAGAAAGAGUCAGGAAACGAGCACCCGUUUUGAAGUCAGCGGACCUGGGGUUAAAUCCUGACUCUGAACUCAGUAGCUGCAUGAAAAUAACUCAGUUUCUCAAGUGGAUAAAAUGGGAAGCCAGACAUGGUGGGGGAGAACGACUUAGUAUUGGCCCAGGGCGCCACCCUGACCAACUCCAACAGAGAAGUGAAACUUCCCAUCACAGACAGCAGGCAAAGGGCUCAGGCUUCUGGGAGUGCGGGUCUGGCAGGAAACAACUCACUAAACGUGCAACCCUGAUUCCCAGAACAACGAUCUUCAUUUACCUGCCCGUGCACAAAAGCAGGUGGGGAGGAAGGGGCCCCGAGCUCAAACUGGCAUGUUAGUGACAUCACUGCUCUGGGCUUUGGGGUCCUCAUCUGCAAAAUGGGCGUGAUCAUAUUUGUACUACCUGCCUUGUAAGGCACUGGUGAGGAUAGAUGAACUCAUGGCUAUCAACCUGAGGGGUAAAGGGUUAGCUGCUCUUUCUAAAAUGUCAGAGCUGCAAGGGAUUUUAGGGACCCUCCAGCUCAACCUUCUCAUUGUACAGAAACUAAGGCCUAGAUAAGGGAUCAGAGGGGAACCUGCAUUCUCCUGAGUGAGUUCGGGAAUUCUUCAUGACUCCCCAUCUGUGCUCCCCAAAACUGAGAGGGAUCUCAGAGACUAUCUAGUCUAACCUGCUCAUAAAAUAGUAACUGGCAUGGGGCUUGUAAGGCUUUUAAGUGCCAAGCACUUCAUUUUCUCACCACCAUAUCUUGGAAGAUGGGGAAACCAAGGAUCAGAGUAGACCAGAGAGAUUAAAUGAUUUGUUGAAGUUAAUGGGUAGAGCCCAGGAUUUGGCCCUCAACCACCCAAUUCCAAAGGAGGCAGUGUGGUAUAAUGGGUAGCACUAGCUCAGGCACUUUAUAAGCCAUGUGAUUAUGUAUUACUUGCUCUCCCUUUUUCAUAGUUACAGUUUCAUCUGUAAAAUAAUAUGGUCACAAGAGUCUCAAUGCAAUUGUAAGCUUUUAAUGGUAUUAAAAAUUUUUGGAAUACCUUGUUCUGGGACCACCUACCUUGCAUUUAGUGAAGUUCUAAGCAUUAGCUUUAAGAGCCUAAAAUGGUAUUUGGAAUGCUGGGAUACCCUAUAUUAUGAGGAAAGCAUUUUGCAAACUUUUGAAAGCACCACAUCAAUGUGAAGUUAUCCGUAUUAGCCCUCAAGAUCACAUCUCCAGUCCAAAUAGGGCAGUAUCCUGGACUCCCUGGGUCUUGGAAUGCCCAAGUUUAUCAGAUAACCCAGGAUCUCUGAAAGAACACAUUAAUUAAGCUUCUCCGGGAGCAGACAGCUCUGUUUCCUCAGGAGAGCCCCAGAGGUUCCUCCACAGACUGGUCAGUGAAUCUGGCUCUUUCCGGCUUCCUUGCUGACCAGGAAUCUUGGGGGAGGAGGGAGAAGGAUCAAGGAGAGAACAUCCUCUCAGUCCACCCAGGGGGAGGGACUUCAAGAGUGACUGUCCCCUUGGCCGCUGGCCACCUCAGGAAUGUAGGCGCUGCCCCCAGGGACCACUGAGGCCAGCCUCCUGUCUCCAGUCUCGGCCUGGAGCCAGGAGCCAGGAAAGGUGUCUGAUCCCACCCCCCACUCUUGCCUGUGAAUGACCAAGGCAGGGCGGAGGGUGAGGCCCUCACCAUGACGUUCUAUUGUCCUUGUCCGAAGGGGUGCUCUGCUUCUGGUCCCUAGGCCCUUGGCCUCUUGCAGAGAUUCUGGCAUCCCUGGGGCCAUGCUCAGGACAGCUUCCACACGUCCCUCUUCCACUGGGUAACUUUUCACUGUAACUCCACACCUGUGACACCACACACCUCAGAGAGAGCCCCAAAUGCCCCCGAAUCCUUCACAGCUGGUUUUACCCCAAAUGCUCCCUUCUUAGGGCUCCUGCCACUAAUCCUCAGUGUGACCUUGGUUGGUUCUCUAGCUUGGUUUCCUUAUUCCUAAAAUAAAGAGGUCAGACAUAGGUAGCCUCUAAGAUGUAUUUUGGCUCUAUCACAUGGGUCCUUGUUCCCGGGAUAAACUUGGGUGAACUCCUAGAGGUGUAGGGAAAUUAAGCUCCAUCAUCUCCAUCGGCCCAUGAAGGGGCAAGUCAGGGCCUCUGUCUGGGGCCGGCGCCUUCAGCCUGGCUCUGCCGCCCCCUGCACCCUGUCGGACUAAACACCCCAGCACUGUUUGUGUUCCCUAUUGUCCUCCCGGGGCCUUAUCUGAUCUGGAGGGGCCAAGUCCUGGGGGGCAGGUCUAUCCUGGCUCCGGACUGGCCGCCCUUCACAGCCUCCUCCUCUGCUCAGAAGGAAGGGGCAGGGGUGCCAGGCAAGCAGCCCCUUGGGAGCAACCAGAGUCUGGAGUUAGGCACUGACAUGUCUGGGUCUUUCACCCUCCUGGGCUGGCCAUCUGGCCUCCUUUCUCAUUCUCUCUCUCAAACUGUACAGCACUACCCCCAACCAAGAUCCCUUUCCCCUCAGUCUUGGUGGUUCAAGAGUCAGGUAACAAGGGCUGCUGGGCUGUGUGAGGGGCACAUCUGAUAGAAAAUUGGAAUAAGACCCAGGUAUCUUGGUGCCUGGAAAAAGUUGUGGAGUGGAAAAGGCAUUGGACUGAGGAAUGGAGAAACCUAUCCAUUGUCACUGAUUCAUCGCAUGACUGAGCAAGUGCUUUCUCCUACCUAGACCUCAGUUUCCUUAUUUGUAAAAUGAGUGGGAUUAGACAAGGCCCUUCCAGCUGUAGCCUCCAGGGGAGUCCAAGCUCUCUAGCCUCCCCCCAUUAACAAAGGCAAAAUCCUUUUCUCCAGUAUUUCCCCCCCACCUUCCCUCUGGUUCUUUUUAACACCCCCAAUCCCCAUCAUGGAACAGCCAGUCUUUCCUGUUUACUCCUUGGCCUCUUGCUACAAGGGGAGGGGGGGGGGGAGAAGGGAGGCGACACAGACCCUUCACUGAUCCAGGCUUCCUUCCUCUUCUACUCCUGCUUCAUCUGGAAGACAAUCCCUUCCUCUGGGGCCUUUUACGCCCUGGGGUUGAGGCACACGUGCCAGUGUCGCCGGUCAAGGGGGUGAUGAGGGCACCCGGGGCCAGCAUCCACAUGUUGGACCAGUGUGGACCAAUCACAUUCCUUUUCUGAUGGAUUGUCCCCAGGGACAAUCCUCAAGACACUAAGCCAACUAAGCAAGCCCCUUGGUGACUUGGGAGGGAGCUGUUAAUAUGAAAGCUGCUAUAUGCUCUUGUGUUUGAACAGAAAGAACUUUGGGCUGGGAGUCUGGAAGUCUGAAUUCUAUUACUAACUCUGCCGCCAGUGCUGUGCGUGACCUUGAGCAAGUCUCCUCAGUUCCCUUUUCUACAAAACAGAGCGGGGGUAGACUAGAUAAUCUAAGAACUUGUCUAAUUUUAAAUCCUAAGGUCUUCUAGGGUAGAGGACUACAUCUUCCCCACAAAUAAAUUCAUCAGACAUUUAUUGAGCCAGGCCCUGUGCUUGGCUCUGGGUUUACAAGGAUGAGAAGACUGUGCUUGCCCUCGAGAGUUUACAAUCUAAUACAUAGGAUAUAACACAAAUGUAGGAUACAAGGUAGCUUGUGCUAAAGCAAAGAGAUUCAAGCACGGUAGUGUUCUUUGGGAUGAGGGGGAGAACAGGAUUCCUUUCUCAGGAGGAAAAUCAAGGUAGACUGCAUGGAAGAGGUAGCAUCUACUAUGGGGUCUUGAAAAAAACAGGGAAUACAUUUCAAUUAUAUGCAAGUAUUAAGAUAGAAGAUCUAGGAUCAACCAGUAAUACAGUAAGUUUAGAACAUAGUGUGUGUAAAAGGGAAUAUUGGGAAAUAAAGUGAGAAAGAGGAGUUGGAACCAGGCUGUGGAAGAAUCUUAAAUUUCAGGAGUGAAGAGUCUAUUUAGUUCUAUAGAUAACUAGGAAAAGAAACAAGAUUGCUCUUGCUGUCAGGGAGUUUACAAUCUAAUACAUAGGGCUUUGAUAGACACGAAAAUGCUAAGGAUACAAAACAGAGGGACAAAAAAUAGAUUCAAGAAUAAUAGUGUUCUACAAAAAGGGAGAAAUCACUUUCAGAGGAGAGGAAAAUCAAGAAAGGUUGCAUGGAGUAGGUGGCAUCUAAGAUGGGCUAAGAAUGUUUUUGAGCAGUGAUGACAUAUUAGACUUGUAAAAUUAGGAAGGAAAUAAGCAUGAAUUUUAAGUAACUACUGUGCUAAACACUAUUUUCUCAUUUGAUCCUUACCUUCAAUGCUGGGAGUUAAGUGUUAUGAUUUCCAUUUCAAGUAUCUGAAAGUCACAUUCAAGUCUUUUUGAUCUCAGCUCAAUGCUCUCAGCCACUGGGAAGUCACCUACCUGCCAUUAAGAAAUUUAAUUGAGCCACAAUAUGAAGGAUGGUUCAGAGAAGGGAAAAACAGGAGUUAGGAAGACAAUUAGGAGGCAAUAGUCGAUAAAGAUCUAAAUUAGUCUGAUGGCAGCAAGUACAAACACCACAGACAAGAUAUGAGAGCAGCUCUGCUCAUAGAACCAUAAUCAACAGAACCCAGAAAUCAACUGUCUCUGAGAUGGAGAGCAGCCAGUGAGGAAUCUGGCGUUUCCAGACUAAGUGACUGGGUUAUAGGAUCAUACAUUUAGAGUGAGGCCAUCUAACCCAGCCUCCUCCUUUGACAUAUGGAGAACUGAGAACAAGAGUCAAGUCAACAAGCAUUUAUUAAGCACAUGCUAUGCAAUCAGGCACUAUGGGCAGUUAGAGCUCUGGGCCUGGAGUCAUGAAGACCCGAGUUCCAAGUCAACCUUAGAUAUUUGCUAGCUGUGUGAUCUUGAGCAAGUCAUAACCUGGUUGCCUCAAUUUUCUCAACUGUAAAAUGGGGAUCAUAAUAUCAACUACCUCCUAAGGUUGGACUGAGGAUCAAAUGAGAUAAUUAUUACUCAGCACAAUAUCUUCCAUGUAGUAAUCACUAUAAACAUAUUUGUUAUUAUUGCUUAGAGUCGCACAAUUAAUAUAUAUGAGGUAAGAUUUGAAUCUAGAUUCCCCGCUUCAGAGUCCAGCAUUAUACUCUUUUAACAUGCUAUCUCUGGGGUGGUGAUAUAAUUGACAAAAAUAAGAAGUUGGAAGAGGAGAGAUGCAGAUUUUGGGGCAAUGAGAAUUAAUUUAAUUCAAGAUAUGUUGAGUUUGAGAUAAGUAGGGUGUUGUUCUUUGGAGAGUCAUCCAGUUGCUCUAUCUUAUCCCCAAAUAAGAAUAUAGAACCCAGAAUUUUAGUGAGGAUAAAGGCCUUCGAAAUCAUCAAGGUAAAGAUAUCUAGAAGUCUGCGAGAAAUGGGGCUCACUGAAGAACCUAAUCUAUGUUUAAAAGUACAUCUGGGAAGAGAUGAUAAUUAAAGCCAAAAGAGAAGAAAAAUAGAGAAUUUGGCUGAGGGAAGAAAGCUACACUUAAAUGUAAAUGGAGGAAGAGGCAAAAUAAAACAGUAACAACAAAACAAACAGCAAAGGAGAAACCAUCAAAAACCUUGUCUUCAAAUAUUGCAGAUGUCGAGGAGGAUGCACUUUGGAAAAAAAGGCCAUUGGACAGGGCCAUUGCUGAUGAAUACAGAAUAGCUCUCAAGAUUUAUAUGAACUAAUGCAAAGGGAAACAGGUAGAACUAGGAAAAUAAGGGGAACUACAAAAUGGCUACAAUGUAAACAGAGAGCUCAAAGGCAGCAAACAAUUGAAAAUGAAUGUAGCAAAGUUAUGAUCAAACUUGUUUCCAAAGAGGAGAUUUGAGGAAGCACCAAGGCUCCACCCUGUUUGAGGAGGUAGGAGCACAGCAUACAAUCAGACUUUUUUCAUUGUAUUAUUGGUAUUGCUUCUCCUCUCCCUCCCUACUCUUUAUUGCUCAGUUUCUCUCCUUCGCUCUCAUUAUAAGGGAUGGCUCUUGGAAGAGGAUGGGGAGAAUGGAGGGACAUAUAGGGAAAUAUAGAUAUAAAAUCAAAAGAUAUCAAUAAAACUGUGUUUAAAAAGAAAUCAUUGGAGAAAAUCACAAGAUUUAAAGCUGGGAGAAAUAAUUAAGUCCAGCUACAUGUUU